CUCGACCAGCAAAAGUUGAAACAAUUGGAGUUUUAUAUUUUCCAUUGAGCUCAGCAGUCAGACAAGUGAAACGUGUAUAAAAGCUCGGCCAGUUAUGCUGUUCCCCUUCAUCUGAAAGUCCUGUUAUGGGAGCGCUUGGUGUGUGAAGGUUUAGAAGGUGAAGAACUUGUUGAAAUGGUGAUUCGGUGAGGAGUGUUGCUGCGGUACUGAGGUUUCCCAAGGGGACGCUACUGAGAAGCUGGCUCACCAAGUCCCGCCCCAGACUGCUGCUGCUCAUCGCUGGCUUGAAGAGGCCUCAGGUCACCCUCAUGCGCAGGAAAAGGAUGAAACGCACCAAAGUAGCAAAGGCCACGUAAGCGAACCUGCAGUCGUAUGCCACAUUUCACUUGAGUCGCUGACACAGAGAGAAGCUCCAUCUGAUGUCGACAUGAACGCAGAUCCAGAAACAGAGAAAGCAUCUCAGUCGUCUCGGCCAAACAUACGAACUAAACGCCAAAGCAGAAGCAGAAGAGGCUCUGAGUUUGUUGUGAAAAUGAGGGACCUUCCACAAAGAUCCAGACCCCCCGACUAAGAUCUGGAGCCUCACAGUGACAUUUGUUCAUCUUUCUCUCAAAUACACAUCUGUCAUGCUUCAGUUCACUACAGCGUGUGACAGCACAUUAUUGCUCUUGCUCUUGCUCUUUGGUUGACAGUGCUUUCCUUUCCUGUGUUCUCUGGUCAGGAUUUCAGGGACUUUUAUUUUUCGAUUCCUAAUGAUGUGUGUGGGUGAAAAAGAAGAAGAAAAACACGAAUGAAAAAAAAGAAAAUAAAAAUAUAUAAUUGCCAUGAGCUAGUAACCAACAGCACACCAGUGGGGUUUCCAUACUGUUGAGCUCGACAGACUGACAGCUGACGGUCUAUAACUUUGUCCAGAGAAGCAAAAUAAUUCAUGUAAAUGUCAAUAUCUAUUGAAAAACCUUAUAUACAUAUACAGAGUUAUAUACAUCC